rnacentral:rRNA from 1 species
UACGAAGGGGGCUAGCGUUUCUCGGAAUCACUGGGCGUAAAGCGCACGUAGGCGGAUUGUUAAGUCAGGGGUGAAAUCCUGGAGCUCAACUCCAGAACUGCCUUUGAUACUGGCGAUCUUGAGUCCGGGAGAGGUGAGUGGAACUCCGAGUGUAGAGGUGAAAUUCGUAGAUAUUCGGAAGAACACCAGUGGCGAAGGCGGCUCACUGGCCCGGUACUGACGCUGAGGUGCGAAAGCGUGGGGAGCAAACAGG